AUUGAACGCUGGCGGCAGGCCUAAUACAUGCAAGUCGAACGGUAACAGGAAGCAGCUUGCUGUUUCGCUGACGCGUGGCGGACGGGUGAGAAAUGUCUGGGAAACUGCCUGAUGGAGGGGGAAAACUCCUGAAAACGGUACCUAAUACCGCAUAACGUCUCAAGACCAAAGAGCGGGACCUUAGGGCCUCUUGCCUUCGGAUGUGCCCGGAUGGGAUUAGCUAGUAGGUGGGGUAACGGCUCACCUAGGCGACGAUCCGUAGCUGGUCUGAGAGGGUGAACGGCCACACUGGAACUGAGACACGGUCCAGACUCCUACGGGAGGCAGCAGUAGGGAAUAUUCCGCAAUGGGCGAAAGCCUGAUGGAGCCAUGCCGCGUGAGUGAUGAAGGUCUUCGGAUCGUAAAAUUCUGUUAUUAGGGAGGAACGAAUUUAUGAGUAUCUCUGCACGUAUUGACGUUACCCGAACAAAAAGCCCCGGCUAACUACGUG
rnacentral:rRNA from 1 species